rnacentral:rRNA from 1 species
AGUUUUAAGUGAAGAGUUUGAUCCUGGCUCAGAGUGAACGCUGGCGGUAGGCCUAACACAUGCAAGUCGAACGGCAGCAC